UGGGGAAUUUUGCACAAUGGGGGAAACCCUGAUGCAGCGACGCUGCGUGAUUUAGAAGGCCUUCGGGUUGUAAAAAUCUUUUCUAUGGGAAGAAAAUGACAGUACCAGAGGAAUAAGGACCGGCUAAUUACGUGCCAGCAGCCGCGGUAAUACGUAAGGUCCGAGCGUUGUCCGGAAUCAUUGGGCGUAAAGGGUACGUAGGCGGGUAAGCAAGUUAGAAGUGAAAUCCUAUAGCUCAACUAUAGUAAGCUUUUAAAACUGCUCAUCUUGAGGUAUGGAAGGGAAAGUGGAAUUCCUAGUGUAGCGGUGAAAUGCGCAGAUAUUAGGAGGAAUACCGGUGGCGAAGGCGACUUUCUGGCCAUAACCUGACGCUGAGGUACGAAAGCGUGGGUAGCAAACAGU
rnacentral:rRNA from 1 species